rnacentral:rRNA from 1 species
GAUGAACGCUAGCGGCAGGCUUAAUACAUGCAAGUCGUGGGGCAGCAGGACUGUAGCAAUACAGUUGCUGGCGACAGGCAAAAGGGUGCGGAACACGUACGCAACUUACCCUGAACUGAGGGAUAGCACGCGGAAACUCAGACCAAUACCUCUGAAUAUAGUGCAGUGGCAUCACUUUAUUAUUAAAGGUCCGGCGGUACAGGAUGGGCGUGCGGUUGAUUAGGUAGUUGGUAGAGGUAAAGGCUUACCAAGCCUACGAUCAGUAACUGGUGUGAGAGCAGGACCGGUCACGCGGGCACUGAGACACGAGCGCGACGCCUACGGGAGGCAGCAGUAACGAAUAGUGGGCGAUGGAGGCAACUCUGACCCAGCCAUGCCGCGUGGAGAAUGAAGGCCCGCGGGGUUGUAAGCUUCUUUGAUAGGGGACUAAACCUGGGUAUUCUUACGCAGUUGACGGUACCCUAGGAAUAAGCACCGGCUAACUCCGUG